CACGGGCCUGUAAAUGGCGUCUGGGGGACAAGGAGCGUGGGGGAGAUCGAGAGAGCAGGCACCGGUCACUCCGGAACCGGUCUAGGCACCCCGGCGGUGGCACCCAAGGAACGCAGGGCCGAAAGAGGAAGACGAGGAGGGAAUACAGGUACAUUCUGACAGAGUUGAAGCACCUAAUGGGGUACACAAUAAAAAUGCAGAAAAUGAGUGAGAGAGAAGGUCCUUACAGAAGUCCCCUAGCCAAGAAGCAGCAGGGCCUGGAUUCAAAUGCAAGCCUGUCUCACCACAGAGCAAGCCCACAUUUUUUCCCCCUCGGCAGCGGGCAGCCCGCCUAGUGAGACUCAGAGAGAGAGGGAACACAAGCAGGGGGAGCGGGAGAGGGAGAAGCAGGCUUCCCGCUGAGCAGGGAGCCGGAUGUGGGGCUCAAUCCCAGGACUCUGGGACCACGACCCGAGCCCAAGGCAGACGCUUAACGACC